AACCCUCCUGAACCCUAUAUUAAUUGCAAAGAGGAGAGCACGUUCACAGGCCCUAGCUUCCGCAACAAAUGCAUCUGUAACUUCGGCAUAAGAGUAAAUACAAGCACCCAUAAUUAAACCCUCUUCAUUACAGGCUAGAAAAGCCACAGUAGUGCGAUUAGAAUCGCCUUGAAAAGAGGCGUCAGAAUUAAGUUUAAUAACCCCUGGGUUGGGGGGUCACCACAACUCAUCCACAGAAGGUUUUAGAUUAACUACUGGAACUUUACACAAGCUUAACUCAUAGGCAUAACACUGAACAAACCCCAACAGAUCCUGCUGGGAAAAUUUCAAACCUUCAUGAACCACUUUAUUACGUUUAAACCAAAAGACUUAAAAAGAAAUAGUUAACAACUUUCUUGUAUCUUUAUCAGCUGUUAUAAAAGUGCUCACUAACUGAUUUUUACCAUUCGAGAUAAUCCUGUUGCAAUCGGUCAAAAGAUUCAGAGACUGCCACAGUUGUCGUAGUGCUCCACAACACCACAAUAAAUGGUCAAUAUCUUCUGGCAUCUCUUUGCACAGAGGACAACAUUGUCUACUUACAAUCUUCGUUUGUUUAAGUUACUGUAAUGAGGCACGUAGCUUUGUAAUAGUCGCCACAUGAAUUUUAAGUUUGGAAGGAGUUUGUAAAUCACAGAGCGACUUGUAGAAUUGUUUGUAAAUGUCUGUAGUAGUCGAAUUAUGACCAGUAUAUUGUCUGUCUGCUGUAAGUAAGGCUCGGUAUCCACUCUACACUGAUUACUCCCCAGUGACAUCAUGUCACCAAACCAGCAUGUCUCGCACUCGUGAAUAUGCAAGAGGAAUUUUGAAAAUACAAGCAGCCUGCUUAUGGUCAACAAUCCAACAAAUGACUUCCUUAUUCCAGGUACCCGAACUAACAUCAAUUAAUUGAUUCACUGUAGUCCAUUGAGUACUCAUACUCUAACUGAAACCCUACUACUACUAGGGCCAGGCAACCAAGGAUCAUUCCAAAUACUCACAGCCUCGCCACUACCAAUACACCGAAGUAAACCAUCGAAAAUCAACUCUCAAGCACUACAUAUGCUUCUCCAGGUAAAAGAGGGGUAAGAGCUAACUCUGGUUGACAAAAAUAUCUGAACAAGGAUAAUAACGGGCUUUAAAAACCUUCGCUAAU
rnacentral:lncRNA from 1 species